rnacentral:misc_RNA from 1 species
GGCCUUACAGAAGAUCACAGCUAAAUAAUACUGUUUUCAAGCAGUAUUGUGUUCCUGUUGGUGAUAAGGUGACCAGAGCUCCUGGGGGGGAUCGGGGAUUGGGUCGGCAACGCGCUUGCGAUGCUUCUGGUGUUGCAGGUGUCUAUAAGCUACGGUAAUCGCUUACCAUCAGGUGAGCCGUACGCUUGUUUGCCGACCUAG